GACGAACGCUGGCGGCGUGCUUAACACAUGCAAGUCGAACGGAAAGGCCCUGCUUGCCGGGUACUCGAGUGGCGAACGGGUGAGUAACACGUGGGUGAUCUGCCCUGCACUUCGGGAUAAGCCUGGGAAACUGGGUCUAAUACCGGAUAGGAGCCAUUUUUAGUGUGAUGGUUGGAAAGUUUUUUCGGUGUAGGAUGAGCUCGCGGCCUAUCAGCUUGUUGGUGGGGUAAUGGCCUACCAAGGCGGCGACGGGUAGCCGGCCUGAGAGGGUGGACGGCCACAUUGGGACUUAGAUACGGCCCAGACUCCUACGGGAGGCAGCAGUGGGGAAUAUUGCACAAUGGGCGCAAGCCUGAUGCAGCGACGCCGCGUGGGGGAUGACGGCCUUCGGGUUGUAAACGCCUUUCGCUAGGGACGAAGCUUUUUGUGACGGUACCUAGAUAAGAAGCACCGGCUAACUACGUG
rnacentral:rRNA from 1 species